CUUGUUACCAGUAAAGUAUCUGAAUUACAAGGUGUUGAUGUAAACCUUGUUACCAGUAAAGUAUAUGAAUUACAAGGUGUUGAUGUAAACCUUGUUACCAGUAAAGUAUCUGAAUUACAAGGUGUUGAUGUAAACCUUGUUACCAGUAAAGUAUCUGAAUUACAAGGUGCUGAUGUAAACCUUGUUACCAGUAAAGUAUCUGAAUUACAAGGUGUUGAUGUAAACCUUGUUACCAGUAAAGUAUCUGAAUUACAAGGUGUUGAUGUAAACCUUGUUACCAGUAAAGUAUCUGAAUUACAAGGUGUUGAUGUAAACCUUGUUACCAGUAAAGUAUCUGAAUUACAAGGUGUUGAUGUAAACCUUGUUACCAGUAAAGUAUCUGAAUUACAAGGUGUUGAUGUAAACCUUGUUACCAGUAAAGUAUCUGAUGCUUUGUAAUCUUAUCAUUAC